CCUACGGGGGGCAGCAGUGGGGAAUAUUGGACAAUGGGGGCAACCCUGAUCCAGCCAUGCCGCGUGUGUGAAGAAGGCCCUCGGGUUGUAAAGCACUUUCAGUGAGGAAGAACGCCUGGUGGUUAAUACCCAUCAGGAAAGACAUCACUCACAGAAGAAGCACCGGCUAACUCCGUGCCAGCAGCCGCGGUAAUACGGAGGGUGCGAGCGUUAAUCGGAAUUACUGGGCGUAAAGCGCGCGUAGGUGGCUUGAUAAGCCGGUUGUGAAAGCCCCGGGCUCAACCUGGGAACGGCAUCCGGAACUGUCAAGCUAGAGUGCAGGAGAGGAAGGUAGAAUUCCCGGUGUAGCGGUGAAAUGCGUAGAGAUCGGGAGGAAUACCAGUGGCGAAGGCGGCCUUCUGGACUGACACUGACACUGAGGUGCGAAAGCGUGGGUAGCAAACAGGAUUAGAUCCCUUGUAGUC
rnacentral:rRNA from 1 species